rnacentral:misc_RNA from 1 species
UGAGAUCAUUGUUGCUGGAAGACCAGGUUCUGGAGCUAUUUCUGCUAAUGUAGUUGUUGAUGAGAGACAAAUGAAUGCCUUGUUCCUUGAUGUGGUACGAGUGAGCGAGUCAUAUGGGCUUCGAUUUCCACGGGAGUUUGCAAUCUUGAUGAAGCAGCUUCUGUACUUUGAUCGGUACACUCGCUUGUUAGCACCCAAUAUGAACAUGCUCCAG